rnacentral:lncRNA from 1 species
UAGAAGGAACUCAUGUUAACCUCCUCUAACUAGCUCACUAAUACAAUUACAUAAUACAAAGACUAGAUAAUUCUUCGAAUGAGAGGUCUGUCCCUACAACGGUUGGACUCAAACAAGAGCUGCGCAAUAGAGCUAGCUAAACCUAACCUUCAGAAACUAUUUAGUUUCCAUAAUAUGUAACUUAGCAUAUUCGCUUACUAACUAGCUGAGAUUAGCAAGAACUCCUAAAAGCACAAAGCAAGCAGCAUUCAAGCAUCAAGUAAUCAGAACUGAGCAUAACCUAAUUAGGUCAUCCUAUCACUGACUGAGCAGUACUAGCAUGCUAAUCUAUAAGCUCAUAUGACAGACGUACAAAGACAUCUCUCCUAGAUUCUUAGCCCUAAUCUAGCAUAUGAUUAACAAUUUAACAAUCCAUAUCAUAUAUAAACAUGUAUGGGUAUUUUGGGAUAACUUACUUGAGCUCGGUUGAUUGCACGCACCACACCGUUUCCUCUUUUAGAAGUCCUUUUUAUAAAAUAUUUUUCUUUUGAAAAUUUAUACCAAGUCCUUAGUUUGGGUUCAGACACACCCGAGAGUGUGCCCGAAUCCCUCAAACCAAGGCUCUGAUACCAACUUGUAACAUCCAAAAAUAUGGUCCCAAAAAUUUCAAUUAAAUAAUAAAUAAAAUAGUAUUUUCCCAUAACAUCCAAACAUUUGAAUAAAACCAAUGUAUCAAAUUGUCAUAAAUCAGAGUAAAACAUCAUAACGAAAUAUCAAUGGUGUGUGCAAUGUAGUGAUCCUGAGCUCUUCCCUUUACAACCAGAAGUACCUAAAACAUAAACUAGAAACCGUAAGCACAAAGCUUAGUGAGAUCCCUCAAAAUACAACAUAGCAACAUACAAUAAACAGAUAGUGGGCCCUGCCCGGCAUCGAGCUGAGCUCGGUAAAACUAGACCCGCCCAACGUAUAAUAAUAUAUAUCAAAUAAACACAUACACAUGCAAUAAUCACAGAGAUACAUAACAUCCAAAUAUCCAUCAGGACCCGCCCGACAUCGGGUCUUAGCCCGGAAAACAUAUAAACACAAGCACAUGCAAGAGUCACAAAGACAACUAGCAUACUAACAACAUAACAUAAACAUGGCCCGGUAUUGGUUCCUUCGACCCGCUAAACUCGGUAAGGAAACUCACCUCGAAUACAGAAAGGUAGCUGAACGGAUCCCGACUCCAAAUAUCGACUCUACUCAACCCCCUAAACAUAAAAGAUUUCCUUAAGUAUAGCACAAAAUGCCCGAAAAGCCCCUUAUAGGUUAAACUUGGUCAAAGACUAAAGUCAAAUUCAAAGUCAACAAUUCGAGUUGACCCAACUCGCCGAGUUGUCCUUCAAUUCGUCAAGUUUAUCCAUUAGUCUGCAAAGUCGGGAAGAAACCAAUCCAACUCGUCGAGUUCGGCAGAAAUCCAACAUCUUAAUCCAUUAAGCCGUCCUUAACGAAAGUAAGAGCUUCAUGACUCAAAUCUUAACUGAAAUGGCCCCAAGAAGGGUAAUGUUUCCAACUUUACCCCCUAAGAACCACCAAAAUGGGUUCAAAACCCAAACCAUAGGCUUAAAAGGGUAAGGACUUAAUCAUUAAGCACUAAACCACCAAAGGCAUAACCCCAAACUAUAGAUCUGGCCUUAAAAGGUGAAUGACCAUGUAAAGUUUCCAAUUUUACACUCAUGAACGACUAGAAGAUGCUCAAAUGCUCAAAAGAAGCCAUAAGAUGGACUUAAUGAAUGCAUGAAGCCCUUGAGACCAUAAAGUUGGCACGUUGAUGCCCAAAGAGCUCAUGAGGAUCAUAGAUCUGAAAAAAUAACACUUGGGACGACCUACAACCCCAUCAACCACCUAAACAUGGCUAAAAGCAUAUAAACUAAUCCAAAAAGAGAUAUAAGCAAAUAUUAAGCAAGGUUAUAACUUUAUACCAGAAAUAUGUUGGAAGUGGUGCAAAGAAUCAAGAUCUGAAGGCUCCUACUUGAAUCACCACCUUGCACCAAGCUUCUCUUCCUUCAAUGAGCUUCAAACACACCAAAGCACACCCACAAUAAUCUCACAACACUCAAGGAGGCUCUAGGGUUUAGAGAUUAGGGUUAGGGGAUAUGGAGGCUGGAAAUGAGGCCAACACCUGGGAUUUAAGGUGUUUAAAUAGGGUGCAAAACCCCGAAAUUAGGGUUUCCUUCUAGCGGCCAACUCACCGAGUUGAGGCACCUCAACUCGUCGAGUUGACUCUUUAAACUUCACGGCCAAAACAACUUCAACAUGUCGAGUUGAGGCUUCCAAGUCGACGAGUCCUCCAGGAAAAAUUCAAAAUUUGGAAAAUGAAUUCAUACCAGAAACCAGACGUUACACUAAUAUUUUGAAGUUUUUAUAACUUUUGAACGAAAAAUUGAAUGUUUGAAAUAUUUUUCAUGAUUAAAAAUUAUAAAUUAAAAUUAUAUUUUAUUUUGUGGGAUCUUAGGAUCCCGAUCCCGAUCUUAAAAUCUCGAUUUUGCAAACUCAAAAAGGAUCCUACAUAGGAUCCCAAUACUGACAACCUUGGUACCAAUUUCUAUAGCGGUCAAGCUCUCAUUUAAUUUUUCUAUUUGUUUACUUGGCAUGGUACCAACUAGCUCAAUAUCAUUUUAUAUAAACCUUAGCUAAUUUUGUGUGCAUAUCAAUACUUAUGUGGUCUUAGGGGUAAGCGAACCGUCGAUACUAAAUGUCAAGAUUACAAGUAAUAUGUCAAAUUGGUCAAACAUAUAAUAGAUACUUAUAAAACUUAACCAUAAUGAAAAAGUCAAACCGAUUGAUACAUUUUUGUCUAGAAUUGUAAAAUAUAAACUGACCUUUAUACAUACGAAGAAAACAGAAAGUUUUAGAAAAACUCAACUUAUUGUUUUUGAAUAUGUAAAAAAUUUCAUUAUUUUAUUAUUUUGUACAACAAAACUAUUUUAGUUUCUGAUUACGUCUAAAAUACUCAUUCAUAACAGGCAAACCUUUGAUAGCCAGUUACCUAGACCACAUAGUCCUAUAAAUACUCAGAAAAAACAUUAAGUUAUUAUUUUGUACAAUACGUAUUUAUUUUGUAAAAAAAACUCAUUAUCUUCCCUUUUAUUCCCCAUAUUUUGCUCUACGAAAACACCUAGAUAGGACGGUUGUCGGAAUUACAUAAUAUUUUUUUAGAAUCGGCCGCUUUAGAAUCAUAACCGAUGUAUGUUUAGAUUCGGUACCUCAUGUACGAAACCGUUUGAGAGAUUUUCAGUUCUUAAUUUUUUUGGAACCGUUGGUAGUUGGUACCAAUUACCUAAUGUUUUUUAAUGAAAGUUCUUUAAAGUUAUAAUAAAAUAGAUAAAAUAGCUUAUCUAAUUAAGACUUUAUAUUAGUUAAAAAGAUUGCUUUUUCAUUUGUAGUGAACCAUGGUGCGAAUUGAAUCCCGUCAUAUUAAUUGGAUUAGAAGUGCAACUAAAAUAUUACUUUUUACAUUGCAUAUCUCGUCUAAAUUUGGAUAGGAAACGACCUUUAUAAGCAAAUUUAUAAUUUUUAUAUUUCUGGCGGAAUUUUAUUUUUUCCUCGUUGCACCUUUAAUCUAAAUUAAGCAAAUUUUAUAUUUGUAUUGAACCUAUUUUGCUUCAAAAUUAUACAAGAUUUAUCAAAUCUAAAAAUAUAUUUUUUUUUAAAAUACUGACCAACAUACACAUAAGAUGAUAAGAUGGAAUUUGAAUCAUUUAAUGAUUGGUUGAUUAAUAGAACAAAAUAUUUUCUUAAGGGAAUUUCAUAAACAAUAGGUAUAUGACCAAGAAAAAAAUGGAUAUUACAAUUAGAGAUUGACAAAAUUCAUUUGCUCAAUUCUCACUCCAGAAAAUUGUAACAAUUUCUAAAAGGAUUAAUGUCCAUGAGGUCCUAUAAACUAUCACGAUUUGGUUUAAUUUGUCUAUUAUGUUCAUUUUGACUUUCUAGGGACAUCAACUCAACCUUUUGGUUUUAAAAUGUCAUUUAAAAAAAAAAAGUUGAGGAUAACCCUUAUCCCUUGCCAUGUCAUCAAUUCACGGAUGUUUAAUUACCUAAUGUUUUCCAAUGCAAAACGAAAGCACGUAAACGUCUACCACAUCCUAUUCUUUCUCCAUUAACUUAUCUCCAUUAUUAGUUUCCUUCCUAUUACAGGACACCAUCUCCACUUCCUCAAGAUCAAUGUCACCCAAAUCAAAUCCUAAAUCAUCACCAUCGCAUCCUCCUAGAAAACCUUAUUUCCUUCUAUUAGUUUAUGCUUCCAUCGUCUUCGCACAUAUCAAGCCCUCCACCACUUUUUGUUCAUCUUCUUGUUCAGGUUCGAAUUCCUUCAAAUGUCCGGUUUCGAAUUUGUUUUUAUCAUGUCACCAAACCUAUACUCUAUGUCUUCGAUGAAAAUCCCAUAUGAACCAGUUAUAUGUAUGUAUGUUCGUUUUGAUUUUGUUCUUGAUGCAGAUUAGUGUUGUUUUAAUGUCAUGCCAGUUUCGAAGGAUUAUUUUAGGCAUUCUCAUAUAUAAAACGAUUUUAUUGUACAAAAUAGACAAAAUUGCAAAAGUGGUCCUAAUGGUUUGUCAAUUUCUAUGGGUAAGUUCCAAAAAAAAGUUUAUUAGCAAAAGAGGUCCCUAAUUGAUGGUUUUGUUAUGGUUUUGGUCCCUACUUCGUUAAGUUUAACAGCAUGACUGUUAACUUUUGGAAAAUGAUAGAUUUACCCUUGAGACUAUUUCUGCAGUUUUAUCUUUUUACCAAACUACAAGGACCAAUUAUGCAAUUUUUCUUUUUCAUUUUAUUGAAUUAUUAAAUAAUUGAAUUACUUUUUUCUUUUUAACUUUUUACUUAGUGUAUUAUUUUUAUUGGAUUAUUAUAUAUUAAUAAAUAUUAUUUUUUAAUAUAUUAUACUUAUAUAUUAAUAAAUAUUAAUUGUUUUAAUAAUUUUUUUUGAAUUUCUUCUUUAUUGCAUUAAUUCUUUUUUGUUGGAUUAUUAUAUAUUAAUAAAUAUUAUUUUUAACAUAUAAUAUUAUAUUUAUCUAUUACUAAGUGUUACUUUAUUGGAUUAUUAAAUUAAUUUAAUUAAAUUUUAUAAAUUUUUUUAUUUCGUUAUUUGUUUUGAUUGGAUUAUUAUAUAUUAAUAAAUAUUAUUUUUAACAUAUAAUAUUAUAUUUAUCUAUUACUAAGUGUUACUUUAUUGGAUUAUUAAUUUAAAUUAUUAUUUUUAUUUAUAAUAAAUAAUAUUUUUUAAUUGUUUUUUAUUUUUUUUAAAAUUUCUUUCUUUAUUGUUUCAAAUAAAAAUACCAAAAAAUCAUACCCACCCCACAUUCUCUAAUUUAUUUUAAAUAUUUGGAAGAUAACAUAUUUUGGACAACACCACCACCAUUGCUCAGUCACAACAAACCAUUAUCGGGCCGUCUCCAACCCUGUUAAUAUAUAUAUAUAUAAGUUCAAUAAUUAUUCAUGAAGUGAGAUCAUCAUGUGUAUUUUAGUUUUUGUGUAUUCACAUAUAUCUAAAUUUGUUAUUUAUUUCAAUAAACUUAUGAUUUUGACAUAUAUAAUUUACCUAAAAAUAUUUCUACAUGAAUUACCAAAUAUGAGUAUUCGCUACUCGGCGGUCGACCGAACGAGUACCACAUAACGAGUUCUACAACUUUGUCACCACCUAUAGUGGCUAUGGUGGUUUGAAAACCCUCGAUCUAACAUUGUCGUCGUCGAUGGUGGUAUCUGUAACGAAUGGUCGGCUGGAGGAAGUAUGUUUUCUGGGGUUUAUUUCACAUUGUGUGGGUAGUCAACUGGUGUAGUUUUCAUCGAGAAUGGUCAACUGUAGUCGAUGAUCGAUGAUUUCCAGCGAGAUUAAAAUAAAAUAAAAACAAUAAAAUAAAUAUUACUUAUCAUAAAUAAAAAUAAUAAUUUUAAAUUAAUAAUCCAAUGAAAAGAACUAAUGCAAUAAAAAAUAAAAAAUAAUAAUUAAAUGAAAUUAAUAAUCCAAUAAUGUAACUGUAACAUCCCAAAUUUCAAGGCCAAAAAUUUCAUUUUUAAUUAUGUGAUUUAUAAAAUAGUUUAUCAAAACAUUGCCAAAAUCAUGUCAAUACAUAAAACCAUAGUAUCAUGUCUCAAAACCAUAUUAGCUAAAGGAAAUAAAUAUCAGAGUACAAUCUCAGAAAACUCUAAGCAGAAAUCAUGUGUGCGUGUGUGAUGCGCUGCUACCCCGCCAGCUCCNNNNNNNNNNNNNNNNNNNNNNNNCCAGCCUUUCCCUUGGACGAAAAGGUACCUGAAACCAAAACUGAAACUGUAAGCACAAAGCUUAGUGAGUCCCCCCAUCAUACCACAUACUAUACAAUCACAUAGCAUACAUACUAUCGGGCAGUUUUGGGGCGCCCGUCCUACCCAUGUCAAGCCAUUUUGGGGUGCUGACCUACCCAUCUCGAGCUAUUCUGGGGUGCUGACCUAUCCAUGUCAAGUCAUUCUAGGGUGCUGACCAACCCAUGUCAAGCUAUUCUGGGGUGCUGACCUACCCAUGUCAAGCUAUUAUGGGGUGCUGACCUACCUUCUGGUCUGUCUCAACCGAACACGGGGACUAUUUCAUCCCCUAGCAAGAACUCGACGGGUUCUCCUUCAUUCAAACCAUCAGAACCAUCUUCAUCUGACUCACCGAGUUCUUCCUUGAACUCGACGAGCUCAUCUCCCUCAUAAGAAUCUGUCCGGUCUACGACUCGCCGAGUUGUAUGAACAACUCGUCGAGUCCAUCUUCAAAAGUUGGGAGAUUGCCUUGGACUCGCCGAGUCUAUUCAUACACUCGCCGAGUCCUAUGAUUUCCAGGUCCCUUUACGAGUCUAAACAUCUAAGGGACUUUCCUCCCUAACAGUUGGUCCGUCCUCAGAAAGGAUUUGGUGGUCAUUACACUGCGACUCACCGAGUCCCAAGAACAACUCGUCGAGUCAAUCCAUGACCAACACUAUACAGUCGAUUUUAAUGGUCCUUAACACCACAAAACCAUAGAUCUGGCCCCCUAAUGUCCAUUUAAUACGUAAAGCUCCAAACUUAGUGUAUAUGCAUGGGGGUUUUGGCUCAAAAAGCCAUAAAAAAUGAUCUACAAGAUGCAUGGGGCUCUCAUGGCCAUAAAGUUGGCACCUUUAUGCCAUGAGACCCUUCCAAUGACUCAGAUCUGAAGUCAAUACCUCAUAUGAUACUCCACAAAUCCGAAUAUGGCUUGGAAAGCCCUAAAUAUGCCCAAAACCUAAGUCUAAGGAUGAAUACACAUAUAGAAGACCAAGACAGGGACAUUUUACCUUGAUUGUGCUGAAAAUGGAACUAGAUCUCUGAAUCUCUAAGCCCCAACUCGAACUCUCAAGCUUCUUCUUCUUCUUCAAGCUUCACAAACCUCCAAAUGCACCAAAAUGGCCUUGGAACACACAAAAACGGUUAGGGUUUCGAUACACAGCUUUCUGGGAGUGAUAAGGGUGAUGGAGGUUGAGAUAAGGUGUUUAAAUAGGAUGCAGACCCUCAGAUUUAGGGUUUCACUCAACCAGCACCUACUCGUCGAGUCAGUCUCCCGAUUCAUCGAGUAGGUCACUUAAACUGUCUGCGGGUCACGACUCUACUCGACGAGUUGGGCCACCAACUCGUCNNNNNNNNNNNNNNNNNNNNNNNNNNNNNNNNNNNNNNCAUACCAGGAUUAGGUGUUACAGUAACACUUACUAAUAGAUAAAUAUUAUAUGCUAAAAAUAAUAUUUGCUAAUAUAUAAUAAUCCAAUAAAAAAGAAUUAAUACAAUAAAGAAGAAAUUAAAAAAAUCAAUUAACAAAAUAAAAAUAAAAAAGUAAUAUUUAUUAAUAUAUAAUAAUCCAAUAAAAAAGAAUUAAUACAAUAAAGAAGAAAUUAAAAAAAUCAAUUAACAAAAUAAAAAUAAAAAAGUAAUAUUUAUUAAUAUAUAAUAAUCCAAUAAAAAAGAAUUAAUACAAUAAAGAAGAAAUUAAAAAAAUCAAUUAACAAAAUAAAAAUAAAAAAGUAAUAUUUAUUAAUAUAUAAUAAUCCAAUAAAAAAGAAUUAAUACAAUAAAGAAGAAAUUAAAAAAAUCAAUUAACAAAAUAAAAAUAAAAAAGUAAUAUUUAUUAAUAUAUAAUAAUCCAAUAAAAAAGAAUUAAUACAAUAAAGAAGAAAUUAAAAAAAUCAAUUAACAAAAUAAAAAUAAAAAAGUAAUAUUUAUUAAUAUAUAAUAAUUCAUUAAAAUGAAAAAGAAAAAUUGCAUAAUUGGUCCUUGUAGUUUGGUAGAAAGAUAAAACUACAGAAAUGGUCCCAGGGGUAAAUUCGUCAUUUGCUAAAAGUUAAUAGCCAUGCUGUUAAACUUAACGAGGUUGAGACCAAAACCGCAACAAAACCAUCAAAUGGGGACUUUUUUGCUAAUAAACUUUUUUUUGGACCUUACCCACAGAAAUUGAUAAACCACAGGGACCACUUUUGCAAUUUUGUCUACAAAAUACUAAUAACAUAAUGAUUUUUUUUCACAUGUUUUUCUAAUACAUAUAAAAUAGUUUUACUAUAUAAAAUAAUAGACUAAACUGCACAAAUGGUCCCUGUGGUUUGUUUAAAAUUGUCACUUUGGUCCAAAAAUAUUUGGACUAGCACCAGAGGUCCAAAGUUUUCAUUUUAUUGCUUGUUUGGUUCAAUCUGUUUUGAUUUUUUUCAAAAUGACUUAUUUGGCCCUGUUAAUAUGAUUUUCUUUUUUUCUUAUUUUGUUUUUUUGAUUUUCAGAUUUAAAAAAUUAAAAAUUAAAAAUUAAAAUUAAAAUUAAAUAAAAAUAAAUCUCUCUUUCUCUCUCUCACACACUCUCUCUCUCUCUAGAAAGAACCCAUGCAUACACACUCCACAUACGAACAUAAUCGAUGAUGAACACACACUCCAUAAUCGAUUUGUAAGUGUGUGGUUGAAUACUCCACCCAACAACACCAGUUUCACCGAUGAACUCCAUCGCCAGCCACCUUCAUCCACCACAACCCUUACCGGAAACAUCAUCGUUAUCUCCCUCGCUUCACCAAACUAAAUCAACCCAAAUGUGUCAAACAUCACUACAUCUCCCACUCAAGAACACACAACCACCACAUCAACGCCUGAGAAUGCCCGUGAGCCGCCGAGAAGAAACCCACUCGCCGGACGUUAUCUGAUUAACUACAUCACUACAUCUCCUACUUACUUCCUCUGAUUUUGAUCGAGAAUUGAUUUCUGGAACCAUUUUGGAUUUCAAUCAAAAAUUGAUUUCCGAAACAACUGUCCCUGCGAUCUACAACUCGACGAAGAUGAUGGUUGAGCCGCCCAUCUCUCUCCUUCUCUGGCGAUGUUGUUCCUACUCUCUGAUGGCGGCGACACUUAGGGUUUCAAACGAUAGUUUCAGAUCCGUCGCCGUUCAGGGUUUCAAGCGAUGGCGGCGACAACAAAGAGGAAGAUGGAUGGUCGAUGUGUCUCCAACCUCCUGAGAAUCGACGAGCACCACCGACGACACAUCACAACUUCAGAUCCAAAGUUUUUUUUUUUUUUUUUUUUUUGCUGAAUGUGACUUGAUGUUGAUUUUAGGAUUUAAAGUUUUUUUUUGUUUUUUUGUUUUCUUUGGUGUGUAUGUAUGAGAGAUAAGAGAGAGAUAAACAUAGAAUAAAUGGUGGUGGUGGUGGCGGAGAGUGGUGGUCGAUGGUGGUGGGUCAUUAUUUAUUUGUGUGUGAAAGAAGAAAGGAUGAGAGGAAGAAGAUGAUGGUGGGAGAUUGUAUUCUUUACACACACACACACACAGAGAGACAGAGACAGAGACAGAGACAGAGACAGAGAGAGAGAGAGAGAGAGAGAGAGAGAGAGAGAGAGAUUUAAUUUUUAUUUUUUUAAAUCUGAAAAUCAGAAAAACAAAAUAAGAAAAAAAAAUCAUAUCAAAAGGCGCAAAUCAGUCAUUUUGAAAAAAAAUCAUAACAGAUUGGACAAAACAAGCAACAAAAUGAAAACUUUGGACCUCUGGUGCUAGUCCAAACCUUGUUGGAUCAAAGUGACAAUUUUAAGCAAACCACAUGGACCAUUUGUGCAGUUUAGUCAAAAUAAUAACAUAAUUUUCUUUCCAUACAUUAAUUAGAAGAUAAUAUGUUAGAUUUUUGUAAGGUUUUACCAAAAUAAAACCCAGUAAAGAUACAAAAACGUAUUUACAUUUUAAAUACAAUUAAAAUAUAACUUACUGUAAAUAAAAAUGAAAAAAGAAAGGCUUCUUUGCCAAAAUACAAUUAUUGAUGCUCAUGUGAAAAGAGCAAAAUACCAUUCAUGAUACCAACACAUGCAUGGCGGCGAACCACAUGCUUAUUCCAUGACCAUACGAAGUUGCAAUACUUAUACAAUGAAUGCCCAAUCAUCCGUACAUUAGUCUUCAACCUUCAAACACCAUUACUUUUCACAUAAUUUUAAUCUUUACUUUAAUUAUAUUUUUUUUCAGCUCAAGACAUUAUAAAUCGCAUCAUUUACUUCUAUAUUAUUAUUAUUUUUUGGAUUUAAGCUUUGAUGUCCAUGUCAUUAUGGGACAUGUUUGGUACAUGAACUAAUGAACCAGAACAAUGUUUAACAAAGAGGUAUUGUCUCAAAAAGAUCAAAGCUUUGAUAAAUGCAAAAAGUGUCUUAAGAAAAUUUAAACGUUUCCUAUAUGAAAGCUUACAAUCUAAAUUGUUUUUUAUGCAUGAAACUCCAGCUCGAAGGCCCAUUUAGUCGGAUCUAUGAAUUUCUGAUUCAUUUUAGUUUUUUUUAUUUAUUUAUUUAUUUAUUUUUUUUAUAAUCUCAUUUCAAGAGUAUUUUAUUAUAAAUGGUUAAUACUUAGCUUAAUAAGAUAUAAUUUUUUAUUAAUGUAAUUUUUUUAUUCUUUAUUGUUGCCCUUGUUAGUUAGGAAUUAUAUUGAAAUAAUACACUAUUUUGGUAAAUAUUUACUUUGGAAUCACUAUUUGGUAAAUGGUAAUAUUAGAAUUGUAACUUGGUGUGUUUCUGGAGGUCAUGUUAAUGGUGACAAUUAGAAAUUUAGAGCAUAUCCAUGUGCAAUGAGCCAAGUGAAGUGGAUCUGGAGCUGGACUUGUAUAUGGGCUUGUCACUUGGUGUAAAGGCCUAACGUUUAAGGCUUGCAGUGCAGCAGUUUAGAUGUUCAAUGAAUAAAAGUGGAUAUAAGAUAGCCGUUGCUAUAAAUUAUAAAAUGUGUCCUAAGUGAUUCUGUUAUCAUUCGCUCAAUCUCUUUUUACAAAUUUUCUCUAUAGCUAAGCUCCAAAUUAGGAUUUUCAUUCAAGAUAUAUGUUAACUUUUCACGUGAUAAUUUUUCAUAAUCAGUUUUUUUAUUUUGUUUUCGAUUAAAGUUUUUUGUGUGUAUUAUCAGUUUGUGAAAAACUUUUGGUAAAGAAGUUUUAUGUUUUCAAUCGUUUUGACCUUGAAUUUCUUGUUAGAUUCUUAGUUGUAGCUAACCCCCCUUGGUUUAUAAGUUUGAAUAUCGUAUCAGGACCCUAGGUUGGUUCUAGUCUAAGCUCUUUCAUGUUAGAUCCAAUUAGAAAACCCUAAUCGUUUCAAUAAGAAAACCAUAAUAACUAAAACCCUAAUUGAAAAUUAUGCUUUAAGUCCGCCUUUAGCUUUCUGUUGAGCAAUCGUUUAGUGAUCAUCUCUUCUGUUUACCGAACCAGUUUUAUGAUAUUUGCUAUGCUUGUCGAGUUGCAUUAUGGAAUCCCUUUGUUUCUCGUAAGGUACUUGAGUCAUAUCUAGUAGACUAUUAUUAAUCUCAAUAUUUUUUUAGAUUUCUUGCUUCGUAUCCCUAAGAUGUUUGACGGUCUCAACAUUGUUUAACGCAUCCAUAAGAUCUGUUAUCCGAUCAAUCUUUUAUUGUGAUAUUCUUUUGAAGACGCGCUCUUUCAAAUUCUUUAUGUACUUGUACAUAGUUGGUGAUAUGUUCAUGUAAGAUCCUUUUGUUUGUCUUACAGUUCAGUAAUAUAUGUUCAAGCUAGGGACCGAUGCUACAUUGAAAUUUUUUUAUCUCAUCUUACUGGUAGCAAGGUAGUCAUAUGUAACAUGUGUUCCCGGUCCACUCGCCUUGGCCUAUAGGCAAAGUACUUGCAUGCGAUUGUUUCUAAUUUAUUAUAUCCUAUUGAUUAAAUGUAAAAUGUUGAUCAAUCACCUUUUUAGUAUUCUUGUUCGCUUGUGAUGCCUUGAUAUGCCUAACUUUAUAGUAGAAGUCUUUAUAGCAUUGGGAUCUAAAGGAAUUCUUGGUUGCACAAGUGAAAGCUCUGAAGAAAAAAACACACACACACACACACACCAAAGAGAGAAAAGUUGUUCAAUAAACAAGAAUUUGAAGAAAAUGAUCAAAGAUUGAAAAGGUUCUAAGGGUGGAUUUGGGUCCCUAAAUUUAAAGGAAAUCGAAAACGUAUACUUGAUGAUUCAUACCAAUCCAAGUUUAUUUAUCCAGUGAGGGUGUACAAAGACAUAUGAGACCUGUGAAGGCAAUAUAGGUGAUCGAGAAUGAAAUCAAAAGUAGUCAGAUAUAUUGUCAAAUUUGCAACUUGUGCGCAAUUCAAAUAUGAGCAUCAAGUGCCUCAUAGAAAGCCACAAUCAUUGCAAGUAACACCAUGAAAGUGAGAUGAAAUUACAAUGGACUUAUUUUUAGAUUACCACGGACAAGUAAAAGUCACAAUGCAAUUUGGGUUAUUUUUGACUGAUUGGCAAAUAGUGUUAUUUUCUAGCAAUAAAGGAGAUCACACCACUUGAAAAUUUGGCCAAACUAUAUGUAGAUGAAGUUGUAAGACUUCAUUUUGUGUCAUCAACCACUAUGUAUGAUAAAGAGCUUGAUUCAUGUCAAGGUUUUGUAAGUCAUUGCAAGAAGAAUUGGGGACAAAUUCUCAUUUAAGCACUACUUACCACCUCAAACGGAUGGUCAAAGUGAACAAACUAUUCAAACACUUGAACACAUGCUUAGAGCAUGUGUGAUUAGUUUUGGAGGAAAAUAGGAUGAACACUUAAUUUUGGAAGAAUUUACAUAUAACAUGUCAAAAAUAAUUAUCAUUCUAGUAUUAUGAAGCCACCUUAUUUAUAGGGAAAAAUAGAGAGUGCAAGUCGCAGACUCCGAGAGCUUCUCUAACUCUAGUACCCAUCCCGUAUUUAUAGGGAUAACAAAAGCGUACAAAAAAUAUAAGUGACUAAACAUUACAGUUUCGAAACUAACAUUGCCCUUAUAAUAAACAAACAAACAAACUUUCGACACUAAGAAUGACCUAUACAAACUUCGACACCUCACAACAACUUUCGACCUCAACAUUCUCCCCCUUUGUGAGAAGUGUCGAAUCUAAGUCAUCAGCAUCUGAGCCGCUUGAUAUAUCACCCUUCAAAUUCCAGCAUACCAAUUUACCACUUUGCGAAUCUCAGCUUUAUCACCUUCAUUGUUCUUUGCACAACUAUUCAUUCGAACAAUAAGGUUUUGUAUAAUGAGAUGUGGUAUAUUUCUCAACAUCACAAACUUGAAACAAAAAAUUCGUAGUUUUCCCCUUCUUUUUCUUUCCAACAAAUACAAUCCUAAGAGGCUUCAAAUGAAUCUCCCCAUCUUCAUAGCUCUUCAAACUGGCUUGACUUUUCAACAUAGAUUGGGGCACUAUAAUCUGUUUGCCAAUAGCCAAAGCUAAUUCAACAUCAGUUAAAGCAAGAUACUCAUAGAAAUUGUCUAUGAAUAACUUGAUGUGAGCAAAUCCGAUUAAGAAAUCUUCUUUGGUUGUUAACUGAAGCUUUGAGACAUCAGUUCCCUUCAAGAUUAUUGUAGCACAAACCAAAUCAUGAAGGUUCAUUAAAGGGAAGUCAGCAACUAAAAAGUCAAAAGCAACGUUGUUUGAUCUGACAACAUGAAAUCGAUAAUUUUGCAACAUUCCCUCGAACAGAAUGUCUUUGGAAAUGUUGAGAACUCGAAUUAUCUUGACCAACGCCCAAAUUUCCUCUUCCCUUUUUCUAAGAACUGCAUGAAAUCUAAUCUUCAAUCGUUUGAAUUCUUCUUUGUCUUCGAACUUAUCAGCAAUCUGAUAUUGUUCAGCCAUGAACAUCAUCUUGUUGAUUAGGAAAUCUAACUGAUUGAAAUCAGUAUUUUCUAUGGCAUAACUCUUCUCGGGAAUUUUCUCAAAAUCAUGCAUUUCCCCAGUAACAACCAAGGCUUGAAUAUUUUCAUAGAAAUAGUGUUUUGAAGGAUCACCCUUUUCAUGACCUGGAGGGUCAUUAGCUCUUUGUCGAAGAAUGCUUUGAAUCUGCAUUUGCUUCUCCAUUUCUUUUUCAACAACCUUAUUUUCUUCAGCAGUGGGUUCUGUAGAUAUAUCUUUCCCUUUGUUUUUCAUUUCUUCUGUUGAUGGAGGAGGCUUCGAUGAACUUGAACCCCCAAUAGCAGAACUAAUCACAACACCUUUUGUCAAUGGUCUUGUUGUUGUUGUUGUUGUUGAAGUAAUUGUAGAUGAAGUCUUUGGCAAUAAAGUGGGAAUUUGAGUAGAAAUGACUUUCCCAACUAAUUUCGCAUCAUCAUUACCUUUCAAAGAACCACUUCAUCCCAUACUAACCUUCGAACCCAUGCUCAUGCCAACACUUACUCCUUCUCCCCCUUGCACCCCUAUGUGAACAGGUGGAGCAUCUGUUGGCAUCAAAUUAAUUAGCUUCGCAAGUGGAGCUAAUUCAAUGUGAAUGAUAGACUCCAACAAUCGAAAAUUUUGAGUUAAAAACUCGGGAGUAAGUAACGAUGAUGAUGGGGAACUAGACUUCGAAACUAAUUCCUUAAGAUUAUUCAAAAUAUCUUUAAUUUUGUCAAAACUCUAAACAUCAAGUUCAGCCUUCUUAUCAACCUUAGGAAGUAACGAAUGAUACCACUUAGCCACAUUCAUAAUAGCAUCAACAAUUAUAUCUAAUUUAGUAUAGAGAGAAGAAUAAUCGUGAGUAAGAGCUGCAACUUCCUUCUCCAUAUCAACCCUCAGCUCCUCAAUCUUCAGGUUGAAAUCUUCACGAACCUUCUUGACAUCUUGAACAAAUAAAAGAUGCCUUUCUUUUGCCACAACUUUCAAUUCCUUAAGCUCAUGAUUGAAAGAUGAAGACCGGUCCUUUACACGAUUCUCAUUAUUCCUAUCCAGUAGAUCCAAUUCAUUUCUCAAUCAAAGCUCUUAAGCCUUGAGCAUUACGUCAACUUCAAUUCUAGACACAUAAUUUCGACCCCUACAUCAGCUUGAAGUUGCAAUAAAGAGCUAAGCUUCCUGUAGAGAAUCUUGAAUUGUUUUCCAAACAUUAACAUGUGAUCAGGAAUGUUGUUCUCCACUUCUGGAUUGAAUUCAAUAUCAGCAAAAGAUACCAUAAAUUCACCAUCUUCGGUGGUUUCAUCUUCUUGAACUGUUUUGGGGCCUUCAGUAGAUUGUGAUGGAAAUAAAGAAGUGAUGGGUUGAUUAAUGACGUUUUCAAAAGUGGGUGAUUGGGUGGAUUGAGGUAAGGUGGUUGAAAUAGAAGGAUAGAAUGGUGGUAGAGAAACAAAGGUGUCAAUGGUAGAUGUGUCGAAGGAAGAUGAAAUGAUAAUAGUAGAAGUACCUUGGGUUUCGUUAGUCGACACUCCAUCACCCAUGUUGACAUUUGCGUCCAUAUGAGAUAUGUUGGCAGUGAUGCCUAAAAUCUGAACCUCCUCAAAAACUGAUUCGGUAUACGAAACUUCGGGUGGUGUGACAACAGUCUUCUCAGGAGUGAAAAAAAUUUAAUCCUGGAUCUUGUUGGGUAAAAAUGUCAUGGGUUUCGAACACUUUAGCAAGACCACGUAAAAAGAAUGAAUAUGAUUUUGAAUAUCAAAGUGAGGUACUGAAACAAAUGUUUCAUUACAUUCUAGAACAAAAGUUCCCCGUCAAUUCCUUAAAUGUUUCGAAAUAGUGGGUUUCACCUUCAUCACGGUCUCAUGAAUCCAGAUCCUAAGCACAUAUUGUUUACAUACCUAUAACCUGGUUGGUUUGGACAAGAGAUGUCUUGGGUAUGUGUCUUAGUGUGUGAUCGUGUAAGAAUAGUUGAUGAAAAAGAUUAGUUAGAGAAUCGAAAGUACCUCUGCUAUUAGUGGACCAAGCAGGAAACUCUUAACUCAUUUGAGAAGAGGAAGGUAGCUCAGGGACUAAUGUGAAUAUAGCCUAAUUGGAAAGGAAUCCUCAUGAUGAGAAAUCCAUUAAGGCAUCGAAACACAUUGAGUCGUGCAGGCUUAGGUCGACAUGAUGCAACAUUCUUCUAGGGACAACUAACUAGUCCAAAGUAUCAAAUAUUUACCUUUCCCUAGAGCGGCAAAACAUGUUCCACUAUAGAUCUUUGUUAGAAAGCUUCACAAGCAUGUUAACCAAACAAAAUAGAAGAAAAAAUAUUUUUGGCUUUUAGAUUUUUGAUAAAAUAAAAAAAAUAAGAACAUCUUUUUGAUAUUUUGAUUUUUGAAUGAAAAUGACAAAAAUAAGAAAAACUUUUUGAUAUUUUUGAAUUUUGAAUGAAAAGUAACAAGAAAAUAAAUGUACCAGACAUGCGAAGUGUAAAGUGUCGACAUAAGGAAUAAAGUAUCGACGUUACUGUAUGAAUGAAUUAGAGAAUGAAAGAACCCCUUUCUAAAACUACAACAUAUUAUUACUCAAAGUUAAUCCAAAACAUGCUACAUGCAUAUUUAUAAACAAUAUUUACAUUGAUAGUUUGAUUACAAAAGACUAGAUACAAACCGACUAAGUUUUAGUAUAUUACAUAACUACCCAGGAUAUUAAAGCUUUUAUACAAACAUAAACCCAAGUACAAAAGUAAUAGUAUAAACUAUUCUAAAUCUUCCAACAGUAUAUGACUAUACUGGAUGCUUAUCACCUGCAAUAGUUUAAACAUUGAGAGGGAUAAGCGGGGGACGCUUAGUGAGUUCAAUAAUAGUUACAAUAUAACGAUAUGCCGUAUACAUAUCAAUAUGACAGAAGCAAAGAGGGACAAAUAACAACAAAGGCUUAUGUGUAUCAUAUGACAGGCAUUCGAUAUCAACCAACAUUCUGACUCAAUGAUUUACAAUUAAUAAGACAUAAUAAUUUUAAUACUUGAUAUACAUCAAUAAAGCUUCUACCCAAAUAGCACAAAAAAUACAAUUUCGGAUUAUCAUUUUUCUAGAAUAUACAGGCUUUCAGCCCUACAUUGCCCUAUGCCAAUACCAGAAAUCAUACGAGUCAUGCUCUACAUGGACAAAGGCACAAAGCCAAUACCAGAAGUUAUACGAGUCAUGCUCUACAUGGCCAAAGGCAUAAAUCCGAUAUAACACAAGAAAAUAUGGAAAGUAUAUUGAAUAUAUAACACAUAACAUACAAUUUCCCCUAUAUUGAACUCACCGUGAAAUAAUUGUAACACCGGAAAUUUCAAAACAAUUUUUCACAUUUUUAAAAACAUAUUUCCAUUUAUCAAUAUUAUAAAAUCUCAUCGUUUCACAAAUCAAUCCAUAAAACAUAGCCCAAGAUCAUAAUGUAUAAAAAGGAACUCCUCAUGUGUGUACUGAUCAUGCCGGCGCCUUCCCGCGAUCCUCACUAGUACCUGAAACACAUAACACCAGACACUAUAAGCAUAAAUGCUUAGUGAGUUCCCUAAAAUACCACAUACAACAUAUAUUAGCCACUCGAGACUAUAACUUUGUAUGACCCUCUGGUCAAAAUGUCUCAGUGGGACCCUCCAGUCCCAUAACUCUAUGGACCCUCUGGUCCUAACUCUGCAGACCAUUCGGCCCUAACUCUGUAAACUCUGAAUCACAUAUAACACAGAAUCACAUAGGUAACACAUAACAUACAAUAUACUCUGUCAUAUAACUCUAAUUACUACUCUAGGUAAAGUAUAGUGAGAAGACUCACCUCGGGUAACGUGGUAAACCUCGGACUCUGAAAUACUGCACUAGCCUCCGCCUAAUCACAUGAAUAAUUACCCUAAUUAAUACAACUUCUACAAGCUAGGUCAACCCCUCUCUAUAAGUUCUCUAAGAAGGGUAAAAGGCCAUUCUACCCCUCUAAUGGCUCAUAAGUCCAAACACUGACUAAAACCUAAAAGUCAACCAAAGUCAACGGUCAAACUUUGACCCGACUCGGCGAGUACAUGCGUGUCCUCUUUGCCCCUGGUCCUCACUCGACUUGCCUAGUCAACCCUUUAUUCAACGGGUCAUCACAGAUUGCGAAUCGCAGGGCAACCCGACUCGACUCGUCGAGUACCUUAUGGGCUCGACGAGUUCCUCCCAUGACAACACUCAUCUGACCUCUUGAGGUCAUAUCUGCUUCUCUAAUCUAUAGAUCUGACUUCCCCAUGACCAAUAACCACGUAAAGGUAGAAUCUUAACCCAUAUGCAACGUGUACAAGGCUUAUUUUGGUGAAAUUCCUUCUAACAUGGAAACCUAGUCUCCUUUCCUCCAUAAACCAUCAUAAAGCAGAAUAAGGAAAGCUCUCUGGACCUCUAUGGAUCCAGAUCUAAAGUCUAACAUAGCAAGGGACCAUAAACUCCACUAAUCAAACCCAAAAAGGGAUAUAGAAAACCCUAGAUCAUGGAUCUUAACCCAAAACAGAAAGGCAGCUCGAUUUGAUACCUCAAACGUGUAGAUCUGAACUUGAAAACCCUGGAUCCACAACUCCCUUGACCUCUUCUUGCUGGAAAUGACUUCUCCUUUGCUUAAAGACACCAAAAUCGAUCAAUAUGGCCUUAACUCACUCUCAACUUGCUCAAGCUCUUAAGGGACACUCUCUCUGGACAGGUAGCCGCACAAGAGGGCUAUAAGGUCCUUUAAAUAGGGCUCAGGCCCGGGGAAUUAGGGUUUCAGCUUACAGCGCGGACUCGUCGAGUCCACUCUUCCCGACUCGUCGAGUCUGUUCAUUAAUCCAGUCAACAUUCGCGGUCCUACUCGAUGAGUCUACGACUCAACUCGUCAAGUCCCUCUCUUUUCUCAUAAUUAAAUGAAUAAAAUAAUACAUGGAAUACCGGAUGUUACAAUAACCGAAGGAAUAAAUGAUAAUUUGGGCGGCACUUCGACUCUAAAAAUGACUUUCUGUGACGAAACCGGGAAUUUUAGGUGAAAACCAGCCGUACGCGAGCAGAGUUUCGAUUUGAAAAUAUGAUUUUCUCAGGAACUUCGAAGCGUCGAGACUUGCUUCGGGUGUCGGGGAUGAUUUCGGGACCUCAGGGGGUUACAAAGUAGGUAAAAAAUGAGAGUAAAGAGUGAAAGAUGUAAGAAUUUGUAACCUAAAACCGGGCAGUCUUGCGUACCUUUUAUAGCUGGCCGAAGCCUCGAAGUAUGCUGGGCGUACUUUGGUACGCGGGGCGUACGAGGCAUGGCAACUGCUCGGAUUUUGUGCCUCGGACGUGUCAUGCAAGCAUAAUAUGUGUCUUCGUGCGAAGGAAAGGGCAACGUGGCUGGCACCGGGUCGAUGACGUGCGAAGUACGUUGGGCAUAGCCUCGUGUACGCUGGCGUACAACUUCGGACCAGCCUUGAAGUUUGUGCCAAAAACUCCAAAAAUUCAUAUAUUUAGCAUACGAGCUUCGUUUUUUACGUUCCUUAUAUCCACACGAAGGUGAGAUUAUGCUCUACAACUUUCGUUUAGACAAUGUCGGCUAAUUUUGAAUUUAUUUUUAAAGUUAUAUUUUUAACAGGUCGGGACAGGAAAAGUCCGUUAAUUCAUCCGACGUCCGUUUUCGUCUGUAUUUUAUCUUUGUACUAAUAUUGACAAGAUCUCUGAUUCUCGUUUUGGUUGUGUUGGCUAAAAAUCACUCGAUCUUUAUUUCGAGUUUUUAGCUCUCUACUGUUAUACUGAAUCUUGGAAAAACCAUAACUUCUUCAUACGAAGUCAGAUUUUGAAGUUCUUCUUAUGAAAAUUAUCGGUUUAACGAGUACUACAACUUUCAUUUAUAUUACUAAAGCUAAAAAGUAGUUUAUCAAAAACUCACUUUUUACGUCAUACGGCGUCGAGCCGGUUCUAUCGUGAAACUUUAAAGAGUCAUAACUUCUUAGUUAGAGCUCGGAUUUCGAUGAGGUUUUCGCCUAAAUGUUUCUAACGAGAUUCUUUACAACUUUCAAUAAUAUAAUUUUACUUAUUUUCAACUUUAUAUUUUCGUUAAUUUCAAUAGUUAACUUUUGAUCGGAAUCUCAUAAGACUUCCCAUCACUUUCUAAACAAUUCUAAACAUAGUUUUACUUCAAUUCUAGUAAAAACUAUCUAUUAUAACUCAAUGCUCAUAAUCAUAUAAUAUUUCAUAAUAUUAUUUACUUUUAAAAGUUACAAAAUACGAUAAUUGAGCGUGUAUGUUACAGCGAAGCGUGUGCUGAAUCGUUCAGAGGAAUGUCGAAUGCGAAGCGUGUCGAAGCGCUGAAUGUGAACAAUAACCUCUGAAUAGAUCAGCGAGAUUUUGACAUUACUUGACAUUAUGAUGAAUUCAGACCAGGAACAACAUUAGCAUCUAGCAUGCCUAAGCCCGAUAAAAUCCAUAGAAAGGUUUUCUCGUCCAAAUGUUUUGUGAAAAUAUCAGCAAGUUGAUCAAUAGUUUUCACAAAAUGAAUUUUAAUGUUACCUUCCUCAACAUUAUCUUUAAUAAAGUGGUAACGAAGCACAAUGUGUUUAGUCUUCGAAUGUUGCACUGGAUUAUGGCAGCUGCGAAUUGCACUUUGUGAAUCACAAUACAACGAAAUUUUCUUCAUGUUGAUUGCAUAAUCACGUAUUUGACUUUGAAUCCAUAUGAUUUGAGAAGUGCAAGCUCCAGCAGCAACAUAUUUUGCUUCUGUUAUGGAAAUCGAAACACAAGUUUGUUUUUUCGAUUGCCAGCUUACAAGCUUCCCAUCCAAAAGUUAAAAUUCACUACUUGUGCUUUUUCGAUCAAGUUGACAACCUCCCAAGUCUGCAUCUGAAAAUGCUUGAAUGAAAAAUAUCUUGUUUUCGAAGGAUACCACAAUCCUAACGAAACCGUGCCUUUGAGAUAACGAAAAAUGUUCUUGACAGCAGUGACAUGAGGCUCCCUGGGAUUUGAUUGGUACCUAGCACAAUUACAAACAGAAAACAUCAUUUCAGGUUGACUAGCUGUUAGAUAUAAUAAUGAACCAAUCAUGCUUCAAUAUAAUGUGAGAUCAACAGCUGGUUUGUCUAACGAAUGACCAAGUCGUGUUCCUGUUGGGUUUUGAGCAUUCUAACACUCCUAUGGUGUACAUGCAACCCUAUAAACCUUGGAUCUAUGUUUUCUCUAUUAUACAUGCAAAUAAGAACUUUCCAAGGCUUUAAUCCUAACUAGCAUAUUAUGAUGUUCUUAAUCUACAAAGUACUAGUUAGAAGACAUACCUUUUAAUGUAGCUUGAUGUCUUCAAGCUUUAAGAGCUUAGCCCCAAUAGUGUGGAAGCCUCAAGUGGAAUCACAAAUCACCAAGACACCUUGGAAUACUUUAGAGAAUAUGAUUACUUGGUUCUCUCUAGUGAAAUUGGCUAGCCCUUCUUUAGUGUAUUCACACUAGUGCCAAUUUCACCAACCAAAGACAUCUUUAUAUAGUAUGGAGGAUUAGGGUUAAACCCUAAUACCCAUGACCUUUCAUUUCCUAGGAUCCAUGGGUUAAACACUCCAUGGACUAUCCAUGAAAGCUUAGCCCAACCUAAAUGAACUUGGCCCAUUCCAUAUAUAUAAGAGUCCAUAUUUAAUUAGUUCCUUUUGAUCACUUAAUUAAUUAUAAAUUAAUUCUUGAUCAAUACUAAUUAAAUAAUAUGAUUCCAUAUUAAUAUAUUAGAACUUAUAAUAUAUUAAUAUUAAUCAUAAACAUACUAUUCUCAAAAGAUUAUCCAUAUAAAUUGUGUCGGUGAAGUGCAACCCAAAUGGACCAUGCCGGGUCGGGUCAAGUACAUACCAAAUAUAGUUAUGGACUUAGACAUUAAUCCAACAGUCUCCCACUUGGAUAAGUCUAAAACUAUUAUUGCGUAUGACUUCAAACCUAACUGGCAAUCGUAGCUCUUAAAGCUGCUGUCGAACUCUGAUCUUGUCAACGAACUUGUCCAUUAGAUAAGGGAUCAUAUAUUCCUCCAUUCUAGAUAUCAUAUGGACUGAGACAUGGAUUAUAAUCAUUCUCUCUGUCCAUUUGUUGUUUCCCGAUUUCCGAUUUAUGACGACUGACUAAUUGAACAAAUCAAAUCAGUCCUGGCCCGGCCGAGCACUUCCAUUUGUCAUCAUCAAAUCAUCGAGGGGCCCACAGAUAUCGCUUUUAUCCCGAAGGUAAAAGGAAUGGAUAAACUUCGACUCAUAUGGCUUGUUCUACUACUUGUUGAAUCAUACACAAAGGCACGUUUUAUAGCACCGAGUUACCAAAUGCGUUUUCGUGCAAUCAAUGUACAACCAACUCAUAGUAACAACUCAUAUCUCUAGGUUUGAAGAAUAUAAGAUAUUAUCGUCUCAUGAUCACUCGUGAUAAAAUCCAUGAAGUGAUUCCAAUGAGCGCGGGUUGAAUCCAAUACUCAGAACUUAUGAGCACUCAUGAGUGUUGUAGCCCUUUGUCCAACACCUUAGACCUCUACAAGCCAACCCAUGACAGUCUUAAUUCAUAUCUACUUCCAACAUAUGACCGACUGUGGAUGGUUUGAAUAACUUAGUCAUUCCGGAAGAAUAACCUAGUUUAUUCGGGAAGUCAAAACAUGCAAAGUGAAACACAAUAAUAAUUGAAUCCAAUAUGGUAUCAACCCUUUGAACAUAAAUAAAACACCUUUUAUUUAU